rnacentral:rRNA from 1 species
GAUGAACGCUGGCGGCGUGCUUAACACAUGCCAGUCGAACGGAAAGGCUCCUGCUUGCAGGGGUACUCGAGUGGCGAACGGGUGAGUAACACGUGGGUGAUCUGCCCUGCACUUCGGGAUAAGCCUGGGAAACUGGGUCUAAUACCGGAUAGGACCACAUUUUGGAUGGUGUGGUGGAAAGUUUUUCGGUGUGGGAUGAGCUCGCGGCCUAUCAGCUUGUUGGUGGGGUAAUGGCCUACCAAGGCGUCGACGGGUAGCCGGCCUGAGAGGGUGUACGGCCACAUUGGGACUGAGAUACGGCCCAGACUCCUACGGGAGGCAGCAGUGGGGAAUAUUGCACAAUGGGCGCAAGCCUGAUGCAGCGACGCCGCGUGGGGGAUGACGGCCUUCGGGUUGAAAACUCCUUUCGCUAGGGACGAAGCGCAAGUGACGGUACCUGGAGAAGAAGCACCGGCUAACUACGUG